GGUUAAGCGACUAAGCGUACACGGUGGAUGCCCUGGCAGUCAGAGGCGAUGAAGGACGUGCUAAUCUGCGAAAAGCGUCGGUAAGGUGAUAUGAACCGUUACAGCCGGCGAUGUCCGAAUGGGGAAACCCAGUGCAAUUCGUUGCACUAUCGUUUGAUGAAUACAUAGUCAAACGAGGCGAACCGGGGGAACUGAAACAUCUAAGUACCCCGAGGAAAAGAAAUCAACCGAGAUUCCCCCAGUAGCGGCGAGCGAACGGGGAGCAGCCCGGAGUCUGAAUCAGCUUGUGUGUUAGUGGAAGCGUCUGGAAAGUCGCAGGGUACAGGGUGAUACUCCCGUACACUAAAACACACAGGCUGUGAACUCGAAGAGUAGGGCGGGACACGUGGUAUCCUGUCUGAAUAUGGGGGGACCAUCCUCCAAGGCUAAAUACUCCUGACUGACCGAUAGUGAACCAGUACCGUGAGGGAAAGGCGAAAAGAACCCCGGCGAGGGGAGUGAAAAAGAACCUGAAACCGUGUACGUACAAGCAGUAGGAGCCCACUAGUUGGGUGACUGCGUACCUUUUGUAUAAUGGGUCAGCGACUUAUAUUCUGUAGCAAGGUUAACCGUAUAGGGGAGCCGCAGGGAAACCGAGUCUUAACUGGGCGUUAAGUUGCAGGGUAUAGACCCGAAACCCGGUGAUCUAGCCAUGGGCAGGUUGAAGGUUGGGUAACACUAACUGGAGGACCGAACCGACUAAUGUUGAAAAAUUAGCGGAUGACUUGUGGCUGGGGGUGAAAGGCCAAUCAAACCGGGAGAUAGCUGGUUCUCCCCGAAAGCUAUUUAGGUAGCGCCUCGUGAACUCAUCUUCGGGGGUAGAGCACUGUUUCGGCUAGGGGGUCAUCCCGACUUACCAACCCGAUGCAAACUACGAAUACCGAAGAAUGUUAUCACGGGAGACACACGGCGGGUGCUAACGUCCGUCGUGAAGAGGGAAACAACCCAGACCGCCAGCUAAGGUCCCAAAGUCAUGGUUAAGUGGGAAACGAUGUGGGAAGGCCCAGACAGCCAGGAUGUUGGCUUAGAAGCAGCCAUCAUUUAAAGAAAGCGUAAUAGCUCACUGGUCGAGUCGGCCUGCGCGGAAGAUGUAACGGGGCUAAACCAUGCACCGAAGCUGCGGCAGCGACGCUUAUGCGUUGUUGGGUAGGGGAGCGUUCUGUAAGCCGUUGAAGGUGGCCUGUGAGGGUUGCUGGAGGUAUCAGAAGUGCGAAUGCUGACAUAAGUAACGAUAAUGCGGGUGAAAAACCCGCACGCCGGAAGACCAAGGGUUCCUGUCCAACGUUAAUCGGGGCAGGGUGAGUCGACCCCUAAGGCGAGGCCGAAAGGCGUAGUCGAUGGGAAACAGGUUAAUAUUCCUGUACUUGGUGUUACUGCGAAGGGGGGACGGAGAAGGCUAUGUUGGCCGGGCGACGGUUGUCCCGGUUUAAGCAUGUAGGCGGAUGUUCCAGGUAAAUCCGGAACGUCACUAACGCUGAGGUGUGAUGACGAGGCACUACGGUGCUGAAGUGACAAAUGCCCUGCUUCCAGGAAAAGCCUCUAAGCAUCAGGUAACAUCAAAUCGUACCCCAAACCGACACAGGUGGUCAGGUAGAGAAUACCAAGGCGCUUGAGAGAACUCGGGUGAAGGAACUAGGCAAAAUGGUGCCGUAACUUCGGGAGAAGGCACGCUGAUGGUAAGUGAAGUGACUUGCUCAUGGAGCUGAAAUCAGUCGAAGAUACCAGCUGGCUGCAACUGUUUAUUAAAAACACAGCACUGUGCAAACACGAAAGUGGACGUAUACGGUGUGACGCCUGCCCGGUGCCGGAAGGUUAAUUGAUGGGGUUAUCCUCACGGAGAAGCUCUUGAUCGAAGCCCCGGUAAACGGCGGCCGUAACUAUAACGGUCCUAAGGUAGCGAAAUUCCUUGUCGGGUAAGUUCCGACCUGCACGAAUGGCGUAAUGAUGGCCAGGCUGUCUCCACCCGAGACUCAGUGAAAUUGAACUCGCUGUGAAGAUGCAGUGUACCCGCGGCAAGACGGAAAGACCCCGUGAACCUUUACUAUAGCUUGACACUGAACACUGGUCCUUGAUGUGUAGGAUAGGUGGGAGGCUUUGAAGUGUGGACGCCAGUCUGCAUGGAGCCAUCCUUGAAAUACCACCCUUUAAUGGCUGGUGUUCUAACGUGGGCCCGUGAUCCGGGUUGCGGACAGUGUCUGGUGGGUAGUUUGACUGGGGCGGUCUCCUCCUAAAGAGUAACGGAGGAGCACGAAGGUCAGCUAAUCCUGGUCGGACAUCAGGAGGUUAGUGCAAUGGCAUAAGCUGGCUUGACUGCGAGCGUGACGGCGCGAGCAGGUGCGAAAGCAGGUCAUAGUGAUCCGGUGGUUCUGAAUGGAAGGGCCAUCGCUCAACGGAUAAAAGGUACUCCGGGGAUAACAGGCUGAUACCGCCCAAGAGUUCAUAUCGACGGCGGUGUUUGGCACCUCGAUGUCGGCUCAUCACAUCCUGGGGCUGAAGUAGGUCCCAAGGGUAUGGCUGUUCGCCAUUUAAAGUGGUACGCGAGCUGGGUUUAGAACGUCGUGAGACAGUUCGGUCCCUAUCUGCCGUGGGCGCUGGAGAAUUGAGGGGGGCUGCUCCUAGUACGAGAGGACCGGAGUGGACGCAUCACUGGUGUUCGGGUUGUCAUGCCAAUGGCAUUGCCCGGUAGCUAAAUGCGGAAGAGAUAAGUGCUGAAAGCAUCUAAGCACGAAACUUGCCCCGAGAUGAGUUCUCCCUGACCCUUUAAGGGUCCUGAAGGAACGUUGAAGACGACGACGUUGAUAGGCCGGGUGUGUAAGCGCAGCGAUGCGUUGAGCUAACCGGUACUAAUGAACCGUGAGGCUUAACCUU
rnacentral:rRNA from 1 species